rnacentral:lncRNA from 1 species
GGCGGAUGGUCUCUUCAAAAUUAGGUAUGCUACCUAUAUAUCGAUCAUCACAGUGCAACAACCAUGUUAAUUUUAAAAUUAGAUUCGUUUCCUCUCUCUCUCUUUCAUAUAGCUUAUUAUAAACAACAAACCAGCCUUUUAAAGUUCAAGGAUAUUUUUAUACUGCUAGCUAGCUAGUGGUUAUAAUAGUUAUGAAUGGUUGGAAAUCUUCUUCCUCUUAUUAGAAAAAAAAAGAAAAAGAAGAGGAGGAAAAAAUAAAGAAUGGUUGUUCGAUCGAGAUGAAUGCAUGCAAGCAUAUGCUUCCCGACGUUAACAAUUAAUUGGGCAACAAUACAAUGCAAAUGCAAUGCAAGAUAAUGAUAGUACUAAUGUACUGCAUGAAGAGAAAGUCAAUGGGUCCAUCAAGUGCAAAUAAUCCAUCCCGUGGCAAACUAAAUUUGCAGCGUAGUACAACAAAUGCCAGAGAGAGCUAGCUAGGAGAAGUACAGCACACACAGAGUGGCGAACGAACGAACGAACGAACUUGCCAUGCAUCCCAUGCAUGCAUGUAAAAGUACGUGCUACGUACAAAACGACUCCCCUUCCGACAACAUACUUGCCCAGAGUGAAUUCAGAAGAUUAAUUUUGAUCGGCGCCAGGAGAAAAACAUGCACCUUACAGCAGGUACGUGGUGCGUACGUGCUGCUGUAGUUUAAUUAGUACUAUACGUACAUACGUACUCACUCUAUCUGCUGGACUAUCUACACU